AUCUACUUUCCUCUUUAUCUUCCCUGUAAUUCAAGAUAGUUCCGAGGAGAAGACAUACACAAGCUUAGGGAGAAGAAGAAGAAACCAUUAAAAGAAGUUCACACCAAGAUAUUCGCGAGGGAAAAUAUGGGCAGUGCUAGACUUGGCUAGGAUAAAGAAAACGGAAGUUGGAUUCCGCCUCUGAAUAAUUAAGAUCAACUUUGACGCCUCAUACCAAAAGGAUGAGUCAAGUGUAAGAUUGGGGUUUUUGGACAGAGCUCACAUAUGCACCUUUGGCAUAGCCAACGUUUUUUUUUCAAUUUCAUUUCAGCAACCAAUUUGUAAGUCACAGUAAAUGCGAGUCAUACCACUGCUAUGCAAUUUUCUCUUUUUGCCAAUUAAUUACAAUAACAAUGAUCAUUUAAACUUCUAACUCUUU